rnacentral:pre_miRNA from 14 species
AUAAUAGGAACCAACAAUCACUUUUCCUUCAUAUUGAAAGACCCCCAGAACAGGAGACCCUCACUCAAGUCUCGAGAUGACACGACCCCCCAAGAACUCAUGGGAGACC